AUUUUUUCAUGGGUUGAUAAAUGCUGAAAUACUUAAUUGCAUUGGAAUUAUGAUAAAAGUGUACCGUUUUAUAUGAGGUUCACUUAAAACAUCUCUCUACUGGCAAUGGCCUGUCAAUCGCUGCUAUUCUGUUACCACUGUGAAGAGAUGGAUCCACAAUUUAGCUCUGAUUUAAGUUUUUAACUAGUUUUCUUAGAUGUGCAUGUGACUGAGAUGUGCUUAUGUGGGUUUCAUUGUUAGAACAAAUAAUUGCUUUGCCAAUAAACUUGAAAUGUUGGAUUGUGGCCUGUUAAAAUCCUCGUGCAAGAAGCAGAUGAACCACACUGCAAUUUCCACCACUGGAGUGCUGUGGGAGUCAUGUUUCUCCCUCCAUCUGAAAACUUAGACUGUUGGUGCACGAUAAAAAGGCUGGGACCAGCACAGUACUUGGCAUUAUUUCAAGAAUUGGUUCUUUAGGUGUGUGGGAUUCAUAUUGCUGGAGACCUUUCACUUCAGCCUGGCUUCACGUGGAGGAGGGAGGACUGGGUGCAGCCUGUGUCCUUUUCUGGGAUGAAUGGCUGGGAAGAUUCUACUGCCUUGCCAGCAGCUCACCAAUGGAAGUCACAGGGGUUCUGCAGAUACAGCGGUUGUUUGUGUGGACCGUGAAAAAGAGCAACCUGUCUCCAAGGCAGCUUUCCCCACGUCCUCUCCAGAACUUAGGUCCCGUGGAGUCCUAUAGACAUAACAACACAGAUGUGCUAUGAUAUGAUGAAGAGGAAAAGAAAAUCCUCACAGCCAGCCAGCUGCUGGACCAAUAGAAGCAGAGGAAACACCAGUUGAUUAAUUUGGUUGAGAUAUUUCGAUGUUUCUGUGUGUUUGUUUUCUCUUUUAAUUUAUUUUUAAUUCUAUUAUAGGGGAGCAAGGUGACAGGUAAGCUCAGCUUUAGCCUUAAACUAAGCAACAGCCUCACAUGCUUGGCCUCACAUGAUGAUCACUCAGGUAUUGAUUCAGUCAAUGCACAAAGGAGUUGUUGGAUUUAUUUUAAAAAA
rnacentral:lncRNA from 12 species